AGAGUUUGAUCAUGGCUCAGAUUGAACGCUGGCGGCAGGCCUAACACAUGCAAGUCGAGCGGUAGAGAGAAGCUUGCUUCUCUUGAGAGCGGCGGACGGGUGAGUAAUGCCUAGGAAUCUGCCUGGUAGUGGGGGAUAACGUUCGGAAACGGACGCUAAUACCGCAUACGUCCUACGGGAGAAAGCAGGGGACCUUCGGGCCUUGCGCUAUCAGAUGAGCCUAGGUCGGAUUAGCUAGUUGGUGAGGUAAUGGCUCACCAAGGCGACGAUCCGUAACUGGUCUGAGAGGAUGAUCAGUCACACUGGAACUGAGACACGGUCCAGACUCCUACGGGAGGCAGCAGUGGGGAAUAUUGGACAAUGGGCGAAAGCCUGAUCCAGCCAUGCCGCGUGUGUGAAGAAGGUCUUCGGAUUGUAAAGCACUUUAAGUUGGGAGGAAGGGUUGUAGAUUAAUACU
rnacentral:rRNA from 1 species